rnacentral:rRNA from 1 species
UACAGAGGGGGCAAGCGUUGUUCGGAAUUACUGGGCGUAAAGGGCGCGUAGGCGGCCUGCUAAGUCGAACGUGAAAUCCCCGGGCUCAACCCGGGAACUGCGUCCGAUACUGGCAGGCUUGAAUCCGGGAGAGGGAUGUGGAAUUCCAGGUGUAGCGGUGAAAUGCGUAGAUAUCUGGAGGAACACCGGUGGCGAAGGCGGCAUCCUGGACCGGUAUUGACGCUGAGGAGCGAAAGCCAGGGGAGCAAACGGG